rnacentral:rRNA from 1 species
UGCAAGUCGAGCGGUAGCACAGAGAGCUUGCUCUCGGGUGACGAGCGGCGGACGGGUGAGUAAUGUCUGGGAAACUGCCUGAUGGAGGGGGAUAACUACUGGAAACGGUAGCUAAUACCGCAUAACGUCGCAAGACCAAAGUGGGGGACCUUCGGGCCUCAUGCCAUCAGAUGUGCCCAGAUGGGAUUAGCUAGUAGGUGGGGUAACGGCUCACCUAGGCGACGAUCCCUAGCUGGUCUGAGAGGAUGACCAGCCACACUGGAACUGAGACACGGUCCAGACUCCUACGGGAGGCAGCAGUGGGGAAUAUUGCACAAUGGGCGCAAGCCUGAUGCAGCCAUGCCGCGUGUGUGAAGAAGGCCUUCGGGUUGUAAAGCACUUUCAGCGGGGAGGAAGGCGAUAAGGUUAAUAACCUUGUCGAUUGACGUUACCCGCAGAAGAAGCACCGGCUAACUCCGUGCCAGCAGCCGCGGUAAUACGGAGGGUGCAAGCGUUAAUCGGAAUUACUGGGCGUAAAGCGCACGCAGGCGGUCUGUCAAGUCGGAUGUGAAAUCCCCGGGCUCAACCUGGGAACUGCAUUCGAAACUGGCAGGCUAGAGUCUUGUAGAGGGGGGUAGAAUUCCAGGUGUAGCGGUGAAAUGCGUAGAGAUCUGGAGGAAUACCGGUGGCGAAGGCGGCCCCCUGGACAAAGACUGACGCUCAGGUGCGAAAGCGUGGGGAGCAAACAGGAUUAGAUACCCUGGUAGUCCACGCCGUAAACGAUGUCGAUUUGGAGGUUGUGCCCUUGAGGCGUGGCUUCCGGAGCUAACGCGUUAAAUCGACCGCCUGGGGAGUACGGCCGCAAGGUUAAAACUCAAAUGAAUUGACGGGGGCCCGCACAAGCGGUGGAGCAUGUGGUUUAAUUCGAUGCAACGCGAAGAACCUUACCUGGUCUUGACAUCCACAGAACUUUCCAGAGAUGGAUUGGUGCCUUCGGGAACUGUGAGACAGGUGCUGCAUGGCUGUCGUCAGCUCGUGUUGUGAAAUGUUGGGUUAAGUCCCGCAACGAGCGCAACCCUUAUCCUUUGUUGCCAGCGGUUCGGCCGGGAACUCAAAGGAGACUGCCAGUGAUAAACUGGAGGAAGGUGGGGAUGACGUCAAGUCAUCAUGGCCCUUACGACCAGGGCUACACACGUGCUACAAUGGCAUAUACAAAGAGAAGCGACCUCGCGAGAGCAAGCGGACCUCAUAAAGUAUGUCGUAGUCCGGAUUGGAGUCUGCAACUCGACUCCAUGAAGUCGGAAUCGCUAGUAAUCGUAGAUCAGAAUGCUACGGUGAAUACGUUCCCGGGCCUUGUACACACCGCCCGUCACACCAUGGGAGUGGGUUGCAAAAGAAGUAGGUAGCUUAACCUUCGGGAGGGCGCUUAC